rnacentral:misc_RNA from 1 species
GAUGAAGAACGUAGCGAAAUGCGAUAAGUAGUGUGAAUUGCAGAAUUCAGUGAAUCAUCGAAUCUUUGAACGCACAUUGCGCCCCUUGGUAUUCCAUGGGGCAUGCCUGUUCGAGCGUCAUUUGUACCUUCAAGCUCUGCUUGGUGUUGAGUGUUUGUCUCGCCUCUGCGUGUAGACUCGCCUCAAAAUAAUUGGCAGCCGGCGUAUUGAUUUCGGAGCGCAGUACAUCUCGCGCUUUGCACUCAUAACGACGACGUCCAAAAGUACAUUUUUACACUCUUGACCUCGGAUCAGGUAGGGAUACCCGCUGAACUUAAGCAUAUCAAUAAGCGGAGGA